rnacentral:rRNA from 1 species
UGCGUAGGCGGUUUAUCAAGUCAGGGGUGAAAGGCUACGGCUCAACCGUAGUGAGCCUCUGAAACUGGUGAACUUGAGUGUAGGAGAGGAAAGUGGAAUUCCCAGUGUAGCGGUGAAAUGCGUAGAUAUUGGGAGGAACACCAGUGGCGAAGGCGACUUUCUGGACUACAACUGACGCUGAGGCACGAAAGCGUGGGGGGCGAAACA